GCGAACGCUGGCGGCAGGCUUAACACAUGCAAGUCGCGCGCCCCGCAAGGGGAGCGGCAGACGGGAGAGUAACACGUGGGAACAUACCUUUUGGUUCGGAACAACCGAGGGAAACUUCAGCUAAUACCGGAUAAGCCCUUACGGGGAAAGAUUUAUCGCCGAAAGAUUGGCCCGCGUCUGAUUAGCUAGUUGGUGAGGUAACGGCUCACCAAGGCGACGAUCAGUAGCUGGUCUGAGAGGAUGAUCAGCCUCACUGGGACUGAGACACGGCCCAGACUCCUACGGGAGGCAGCAGUGGGGAAUAUUGGACAAUGGGGGCAACCCUGAUCCAGCCAUGCCGCGUGAGUGAUGAAGGCCUUAGGGUUGUAAAGCUCUUUUGCCCGGGAAGAUAAUGACGGUACCGGGAGAAUAAGCCCCGGCUAACUUCGUG
rnacentral:rRNA from 1 species